AUACGUAGGGUGCGAGCGUUGUCCGGAAUUACUGGGCGUAAAGAGCUCGUAGGUGGUUUGUCGCGUCGUCUGUGAAAUUCCGGGGCUUAACUCCGGGCGUGCAGGCGAUACGGGCAUAACUUGAGUACUGUAGGGGAGACUGGAAUUCCUGGUGUAGCGGUGAAAUGCGCAGAUAUCAGGAGGAACACCGGUGGCGAAGGCGGGUCUCUGGGCAGUAACUGACGCUGAGGAGUGAAAGCAUGGGUAGCGACCAGGAUUAGAUACCCUGGUAGUCCAUGCCGUAAACGGUGGGCGCUAGGUGUAGGGGUCUUCCACGACUUCUGUGCCGUAGCUAACGCAUUAAGCGCCCCGCCUGGGGAGUACGGCCGCAAGGCUAAAACUCAAAUGAAUUGACGGGG
rnacentral:rRNA from 1 species